UGGCUAAAAACACCAGGACACAUUGGGCAGCUUAUUUCUUUUCAGCGAAAUCCCACGAGGAUUUCGGGAGUCUAUCCACAGUGGGAAGGCAGGGAAGAGGGAGUUACCUCUCUUAAGGACUGCCCUGAAACCUCCAAGGAGUUCUGCUGCUCCUUUUGGCAAGCUCAGAGGAGAGAGAAGGGCUAAAUUAGAUUUCAGUUGGAUUAAAUGCUUAGAUUUGAAUUUGUGGGUUCAUGGUGUGAGGUUACUGCAAACCUGCUGUGCCCUUCAGCCUCCAGUUUAUCCUCCUUCACCAGCCAGAGAUUUUUGGAUGCCAACUGCCAUUUUAGCACAAAGGAGUAUUGAUCAUCAUCAUGCAUCUAUAAUAGAGUUUACACACAGUGACAGCACAAAGACAGUCACUUUUAUCCACGUGUGCUCCAGAUCUCAUGUUCCCACGAUCAAAGUCUCACAAGCCCUGUCUUGCACCAGCAGACACAAUCCCUGGGGAUCAUUGGGUUUGUGUGAACACCAGAGUGUGACAGGCAGAUCGAGAUUGUGUUGCAAUUAUGGGGGAAGAUCUAUAUUUAUAGCGUGGAAAGAAUUUGUGCAGCAGCCACAGUUGUCUCUCUGCCUGGCCUGACAUUUCCAUUCUGCACUAAUGUUGUGUAACCUUCUGGCAGCCCUUGUGAAGACCACUGAUGUCACUGGCUGCAUGGGAAGUCCGUUCCUUGUGGUUUCCAAAGCCUGGAGCAGGGAGAACCUCAACUGCCUGUCAAUCCCACCCAAUUAAGAGCCUAUUAGCUGCACCCUUUUCUUCCACUGUCAUGAUCAAGGUGAUUUUUGUCUUUGCAAAUAGCUUUAUCUCAGAAGCAGCGACUGUGAGAAGUGAGCAAUGACUAUCUGGUAGUCACAGGAUGACUUUCUCACUCCAGAGGGGGAGAACAACCUCUGCUUGGCCCUACACACCUCCUAGAAGGUCAGGAUCUGCCUUCUGUUGGGAGCAGCUAAAAACUCUGAGCUCUGAAGAACAAACUGAGCAUUUGUCUUUUCACGUGUCUCCCCCCAGCUCAGGUGAAUGCUGUGCCACAGGGACAUCCAGCUCUGAAAUCAUCAUUCUCACCUGAGCAACAUGUCUCCUCCUCCUGACUCUGUCCUGCAGCCACCUCCAGUUUGGGAGCAGAAAGCUGACACUGAUGUCUCCUUGUCUGUGCAAAACUCUCACAGGAUCAGCUUUUCUCUGCCUCUUUUCCUGCUGCACCAUCCCCGGCAGAAGCAGCACCUGCUGUGCUUCCUCACACAGCUUGGGAAGCCGUUUUGUUGUGAGGUUGUACCGUGGAACAGCCUUCCCAGUGGUGAGAGCUCCACUGUCCCCGACAGCCUGCAAAGCCUGACCCUCCCAGCAGGAGCUGCUGGGAGCAGGGCAGGGAGCAGCCGUUCAGCAUCACCACCGCGGCUCUCCCGCUGGCCCAGGCAGGGCCAUCUGCUGAGCAGAGCACAGUGUUCCUCUGCAGCCACUCUCCUGCCUUGGAGUGCCCGUUCCGAGGCAGCAGCAGCACUGUGACAGUGUGUAAUUAGGUGGGAAUGGAUGCCCACGUGAGCCCAGCAGACAGGGGUGAGCAUAAGAUGCUGGCAGAAUUCUUCUCACCUCGUCCUGAGCAGAUGGCACCACAUUAGUCCUUUUUUUUCUUUCCUUCCUUUUAUUUUUUUUCCCCUUAACCUUUUAAAUAAUGAAGAAGCAACCUGGCUAAAAUAGCCCCAUGUGGACCAUAUAAUCCUAAUCUUCCCCCGGGGUUAAGUGCAGGUUAUCUCACCAUGAGCUGAGGGCAGAGCAUGGGUACUGGCACAUGAAUUGUGCUGGGAAGCCAUUCUGUUAAGUGACUUCAUUUCCACCCAUGGUAAAGCUGGGGUUGGGAAUGCUCCCUUCUAGCUGAAGACCUUUCACCAGAAUCCUAAACUAGUGGAUAUUCCACUGCUGCCUUUUUACCAUUAGCAGUUCUCGCCCCACUCGUUGAAUCUGCAACAGGCUGGAAGAACAAGACACAGCCCUGCUCUGAAUUUAGCUGAAAUCCUGACCUUGGAGCUGCCCCAAGGCUUGUCAGAGCUCAGGUCAGAGUGUAGGUUGCGGACUGUUCUCUGUUUCUACUCCAAUUGCUCGUCCAACAAUUUAAUUUAGUGUAGUGGGAUGCCCUGGGGGUUGAGUCCAAGACUUGAGCCUUCCAGUCCCUCCUUCCAGUCUCUGCAGGACCAGCCUGGGAAAGGCUGUGGGUACCAGGAUAGGAAGGGUCUUAAGGGUAAUGCAGAAAAGUCUGAAUAAAACUACUGAGAUUAAAUAAAGCACAGAGAGGUUGACACAAUCAGGAAUUAUAUCCUAUUAGACUACAGGAUAAUCCCAGGAGAGGUGGCAGAAUGCAGCAGGCAGUUUAAACCAAAUUGCUUAUACCAGCUUGUGAAUACUGAAAGAUAAAAGACAGCAGAUAAAUUAAUUAAAAAUCCAUAGUUCAGACAUGCCUUGCUAUGCCUUUUACUGUCCCUGGAAUUCAUGAGGAGAGAGAGAAUAUUACAAAGGGAAUGGUGUAGCACAAGGGCAAGACUCCGGGCUCAGCAUCUGAUUAUGUCAGUUAAUUUAAGGCAAAGACACUGCCACACAAAAAAACACCCCAGCAAACAAAAGUCUUAUCUGAGGGAGUCAUUUUUCACUUUUUUUAUGACUGCAUUUAAAAGGCAAUCUCUGAAACAAAGUUCACCUCGCUUGUAUCUCAUCACGAGGCCCCGGUGUCUGCUGCAAUGAAAGCAAUUAAUUGAGGUCUUUUACAGAGAGUCACAUUACUUUCUCUCAUGCAUCAUUGAGUUAAUUAUUUAAUGACAUAUAAAUCCUAACGGUUCAAAAGGUCUGGGGCUGUGCUGGAACUACAUUGCAAAGCUGUCUUUCAUCUCCCUCUUCUCACAGAAGAGCAACUUCCACUUUUCCUGUGAAGAAGGAGCUCUCUCUUUGAAAUAUUGUUGUGGCAGCCAUCAAAAGGUGUGAUAUGAAAUGUUUAUUCACACACAGAUACCAGAUAUUAAACAAAAUGAAACAUA